rnacentral:rRNA from 1 species
UUUUUAAUUAUAAAUUUGGUCCUUUCGUACUAAAAUUUAUUAACUAUAUAAAGAUAGAAACCAACCUGGCUUACACCGGUUUAAACUCAGAUCAUGUAAAGUUUUAAUGGUCGAACAGACCAAAUUUUUAAGCUCCUACACCUAAAAUUUACUUUAAUCCAACAUCGAGGUCGCAAUCUCUUUUUUCGAUUUGAACUCUAAAAAAAAAUAACGCUGUUAUCCCUAAGGUAAUUUAUUCUUUUAAUCAUUUUUAUGGAUCAAAUAUUCAUAAAUCUAUGUAAUAAUAUAAAAAAAGUUUAUUUAAUUUUUCAGUCACCCCAACCAAAUUAUAUUAAAAAUUAAAAUUUUUAAAUUCUAAAAAUUUAAAAAAUUAAUAUAAUAAAACUCUAUAGGGUCUUCUCGUCUAUUAAAAAAAUUUAAGCUUUUUAACUUAAAAAUAAAAUUUUUAAAAAUUUAAAUAUAGAAAGUUAUUUUCUCAUCAAACCAUUCAUACAAGCUUUCAAUUAAAAAACUAAUGAUUAUGCUACCUUUGCACAGUCAAAAUACUGCGGCCCUUUAAUACUUCAGUGGGCAGGCCCUACUUUAAAUUAUUUUC